rnacentral:tRNA from 1 species
GGAGUUGUAGCUCAGUGGCAGAGCACUUGCCUAGCAGGUGUUAGGUACUGGGUUCAAUUCUCAGCACCA